rnacentral:hammerhead_ribozyme from 1 species
NUCCAGCUGACGAGUCCCAAAUAGGACGAAAUGCGCGUCCUGGAU